rnacentral:rRNA from 1 species
AGAAUCAACGCUGGCGGCGUGCCUAACACAUGCAAGUCGAACGAGAAAGUGGAGCAAUCCAUAAGUAAAGUGGCGCACGGGUGAGUAACACGUGACUAACCUACCCUGGAGUGGGGAAUAACUGAGGGAAACCUUAGCUAAUACCGCAUAACACCUACGGGUCAAAGGAGCAAUUCGCUUUGGGAGGGGGUCGCGGCAGAUUAGCUAGUUGGCGGGGUAAUGGCCCACCAAGGCGAUGAUCUGUAUCCGGCCUGAGAGGGCGCACGGACACACUGGAACUGAAACACGGUCCAGACUCCUACGGGAGGCAGCAGUGGGAAUUUUGCGCAAUGGGGGAAACCCUGACGCAGCAACGCCGCGUGGAGGAUGAAGUCCCUUGGGACGUAAACUCCUUUCGAUCGGGACGAUAAUGACGGUACCGGAAGAAGAAGCCCGGCUAACUCGCGCCAGCAGCCGC